rnacentral:rRNA from 1 species
UUGGCGGACGGGUGAGUAACGCGUGGGGAACCUGCCUUGCACCGGGGGAUAACACUUAGAAAUAGGUGCUAAUACCGCAUAAGCGCACAGAGCCGCAUGGCUCGGUGUGAAAAACUCCGGUGGUGCAAGAUGGACCCGCGUCUGAUUAGCUGGUUGGCGGGGUAACGGCCCACCAAGGCGACGAUCAGUAGCCGGCCUGAGAGGGUGAACGGCCACAUUGGGACUGAGACACGGCCCAAACUCCUACGGGAGGCAGCAG